UUAGUCAGGACUGCAGAUAAAAA
rnacentral:piRNA from 1 species